rnacentral:rRNA from 1 species
UAUGCUUCUCCUAAAGACUAAGCCAUGCAUGCCUUCGAAUAAGAGGAAGCAAUUCUCUCUGAAUCUGCGAACGGCUCCGCAAACCAGUUGUAAACUAUAGCAAGCAAGCCCAGGGGGACAGCCUUAAACAGCUGGUCUUCUGGGCUACAUGGAUAACCGUGGUAAUUCUGAGGCUAAUACAUGACCGUACCACUUAGAGCCCGGUUGCGGUUGGGCUCCUGAGGGACGUGUGAUUGAGGCUUGGGUUUUUACCGGGAAAGGGUGCACGUCCAGACCGCUAACUAUUUAAAGGCAUCAGGGUCUUCUUCCCUUCGGGGUUGAAGGCUUUGGCGCUAGCGGCUCUUGCUGUGUGCUUCUGACCUAUCAACUAGAUGGCAGCAUAAGGGACAUGCUUUGGUUACAACGGGUACAGAGGAUUGGGGUUCGAUCCUGGAGAGUGGGCCUGAGAGAUUGCUCAUACUUCUAAGGAAGGCAGCAGGCGCGCAACGUUCCCCUUGGGCAAUGCUCGAGGGCGUUAGGGGACAUAUGAAUGCCUGCCCAUUGGGUGGGCAAUUCAAAUGGGUCUGUUCUAAACAGGCUCUCGAGUAACAAUUAGAGGA